rnacentral:rRNA from 1 species
GACCUCAGAUCAGGUAGGGAUACCCGCUGAACUUAAGCAUAUCAAUA